AUUGAACGCUGGCGGCAGGCUUAACACAUGCAAGUCGAGCGGAGAUGAGGUGCUUGCACCUUAUCUUAGCGGCGGACGGGUGAGUAAUGCUUAGGAAUCUGCCUAUUAGUGGGGGACAACAUUCCGAAAGGAAUGCUAAUACCGCAUACGUCCUACGGGAGAAAGCAGGGGAUCUUCGGACCUUGCGCUAAUAGAUGAGCCUAAGUCGGAUUAGCUAGUUGGUGGGGUAAAGGCCUACCAAGGCGACGAUCUGUAGCGGGUCUGAGAGGAUGAUCCGCCACACGGGGACUGAGACACGGCCCAGACUCCUACGGGAGGUAGCAGUGGGGAAUAUUGGACAAUGGGGGGAACCCUGAUCCAGCCAUGCCGCGUGUGUGAAGAAGGCCUUAUGGUUGUAAAGCACUUUAAGCGAGGAGGAGGCUACUGAGACUAAUACUCUUGGAUAGUGGACGUUACUCGCAGAAUAAGCACCGGCUAACUCUGUGCCAGCCGCCGCGGUAACAC
rnacentral:rRNA from 1 species